CUCAGGUGGCAGAGAAGACAGAUACAGGAGACUGAAAUACAUCGUCAACUAGAAUUUAUGAAGUGCCUACUAUGUUCCAGGUGAGGCUCUGAAACCCAGGAAGAGGAAUGCACUUGCCCAUUUCCAGCUAAAAGGGACAGAGAAGAGAUCUGAAGUCAGGUGUUCCAGAUUUCAAGUCCAGCCCUCUACCUGCCUCUUCGUAAAUGGGCACAACUCACAAUCUCUCACGUAGGAUUUAUUUAUAAGAGAAACACGGUCAUCUAGCCCAGCCCCCCUCACUUUACAAAGAAGGAGAUCGAGGACCAUGGAGGGACCUGCCCAGAAACACACAGGAAUGAUAUUGAGUAGAGCGGAUGCCUGCUAGCUACAUAGCACUGUGAGAUAACACAAUCAGAUGCCAU